UACAGAGGUCCCAAGCGUUUGUUCGGAUUCACUGGGCGUAAAGGGUGCGUAGGUGGCCAGGUAAGUUUGGUGUGAAAGCUCGGAGCUUAACUCCGAAAAGUCAUUGAAUACUAUCUGGCUGGAGGGUCGGAGGGGAGACUGGAAUUCUCGGUGUAGCAGUGAAAUGCGUAGAUAUCGAGAGGAACACCAGUGGCGAAGGCGAGUCUCUGGACGACUCCUGACACUGAGGCACGAAAGCUAGGGGAGCAAACAGG
rnacentral:rRNA from 1 species